rnacentral:rRNA from 1 species
UUUUAUGGAGAGUUUGAUCCUGGCUCAGGAUGAACGCUGGCGGCGUGCCUAAUACAUGCAAGUCGAGCGAACGGACGAGAAGCUUGCUUCUCUGAUGUUAGCGGCGGACGGGUGAGUAACACGUGGAUAACCUACCUAUAAGACUGGGAUAACUUCGGGAAACCGGAGCUAAUACCGGAUAAUAUUUUGAACCGCAUGGUUCAAAAGUGAAAGACGGUCUUGCUGUCACUUAUAGAUGGAUCCGCGCUGCAUUAGCUAGUUGGUAAGGUAACGGCUUACCAAGGCAACGAUGCAUAGCCGACCUGAGAGGGUGAUCGGCCACACUGGAACUGAGACACGGUCCAGACUCCUACUGGAGGCAGCAGUAGGGAAUCUUCCGCAAUG